UACGUAGGGGGCAAGCGUUGUCCGGAAUCAUUGGGCGUAAAGAGCGCGUAGGCGGCCCUGUAAGUCCGCUGUGAAAGUCAAGGGCUCAACCCUUGGAUGCCGGUGGAUACUGCAGGGCUAGAGUCCGGAAGAGGCGAAUGGAAUUCCUGGUGUAGCGGUGAAAUGCGCAGAUAUCAGGAGGAACACCGAUGGCGAAGGCAGCUCGCUGGGACGGUACUGACGCUGAGGCGCGAAAGCGUGGGGAGCAAACAGG
rnacentral:rRNA from 1 species